rnacentral:rRNA from 1 species
UACGGAGGAUGCAAGCGUUAUCCGGAAUGAUUGGGAGUAAAGAGUGCGUAGGUGGCAAUGUAAGUAUGAUGUCAAAGCGUCUGGCUCAACCAGAUAAAGGCAGUGGAAACUACAUAGCUAGAGUAAGGUAGGGGUAGAGGGAAUUCCUGGUGUAGCGGUGAAAUGCGUAGAGAUCAGGAAGAACACCGGUGGCGAAAGCGCUCUGCUGGACCUUAACCGACACUGAGGGACGAAAGCUAGGGGAGCGAAUGGG